ensembl:lncRNA
GUAAGUGCUCCCAGCUGUGUGCUAUGGUCCUCUUAAGUGGUGUCGUUAACUAUUUUGGAAGCGCUCUUCCGUGAGCCCCUCGAAUGAGGGCAAGGUCUUAGGCACCUGUGCAGCCGAGCUCAGAGACCCCCCCCCCCCAUAUGCCUUUCUGUGCUUUAUCUGGAACGAUCGAUACCCGAGGUCGGUUUUGGAAAGCGGCUUCCCGCGCUGAUCCGGUGCGGUGGGGACCUGAAGAUGCGCGGCAGCCUCCCGGACCACCGCGCGAUCCCUGGAAGGCCGGCGCGCCCAACCAGCCUCUUCCCCGACUUUCCCUCGCUGCUUGAGUUUUCUAGAGCCUCUUUCCCUUCCACUCUCAGUCUUCCCUUCCUUUCUAUGAGCUCUCGCGGGCUCCACAUUCAUUUUCUACUUUGAGUAGCCACGUCUCUUUCAACCCGCGCUCCCUCAACCCUUAAGUCAUCCAUUAAGUUCCUUUUUCACUUUUUUCUUCCAUCCCCCACGCCCUCGAUCUUUGGUUGCCAAUACUGAUCUUUCUUAGCUAGUGAUUGUAUUUCGCGUCUCUGCUCCUUAACCAAAGGCGCCCUAACCUCACGGCUCUCCAUGCCUCGGGUUUUCCCUCUUGGUCUCUCGCCUCCCAUCGUCAGGGCCAGACCUGAGCAGACACUUCACUGCCUGGCGAGCAAGACCGCUCCGCCACCUCCCAGCGGCGGGGCAGGAGCAAGUUAACAUCUUGAAAAGAUGGAAAAAUCUGCAGCGCCCCCUUAGGAGCAGCUUCCGGCAUCGGCCCUUAACCCUGGCCCGGGAAGGGAGCAGAGCAUCUGAGCUCAUCAACAUGUCUUUGAGAACGAUCCCUCCGCCAGCCUUUGGGACUUCACUCGGGUUCAAGGAUCACCUUUUUCAAAUUCACCUUGACUGCAAUCUAGAGACUUGCAGGUUUGCAGGACACUUAUAAAGAACAGUAGAAGGAAUGAAAUGAGCCAUUCAGAACUGUGUCCUGAAGUUUACCAAGUUUUCUCAUUAGUUCUGUGCACCUGCUGCUGCUGCUGCUGCUUCUAAGUCGAUUCAUUUGUGUCCGACUCUGUGCGACCCCAUAGACAGCAGCCCACCAGGCUCCUGCGUCCCUGGGAUUCUCCAAGCAAGAACACUGGAGUGGGUUGCCAUGUCCUUCUCCAGUGCAUGAAAGUGAAGAGUGAAAGUGAAGUCGCUCAGUUGUGUCCGACUCUUAGCGACUCCAUGGACUGCAGCCUACCAGGCUCCUCCGUCCAUGGGAUUUUCCAGGCAAGAGCACUGGAGUGGGGUGCCAUCGCCUUCUCCAUCUGUGCACCUAGGGCAAAGUAUUUACUUCUGUGAGCCUCAGUGUCCUUAUCUAUAUAGGAGGAAAAUCAAUUUAACCUGAGCUUCCUACCUUAUAGGUUGUUAUGAAAAUCAUAUGUGAUCAUAUAUGUUUAUAUAUGUAUGUAUAUAUGUAUAUUUAAUAUAUGUGUAUAUGUAUAUGAUAACACGUAGGAAUCAUAUAAGAUAACGUAUGUGUCAGUCAGGUUAGGCCAUGUUAUGCUGUGGAAACAAGACAAAAAUCUCAGUGAUCUAAGCAACACAAUUUUAUUUUUUGUUCAAAAUAAAAAACCAUAACAAAUCAGUUAGUGCUUAGCUUGUUAUCUCUUAGGAACCCAGAAUGACACAAUAGCCAUCAUCUCAAACAUUGUUAAUACCCAGAUACAGACGGAAAGAAGGGUCUAGAAGCAAUUAUAUCAUCUGCUUGGGACUGACACAUAUCACUUUAGUUCCUAAUUCAUUGACCUGAGCUAUUCAUAAGGCCCCAUCCAACCACAGCGAAAGCCUACUGUGGAAGAGACCUGGGACUAUACGGAGGACAGCAUUAACUACCACCACUCUUCAUGGGGGGAAGUUGUAAAUGGCAAAGUGCUUUACAGCUGAGAAGUGUAGAAGUAGACUGAGGAUUUCUAAUAAUUAGAGUCAACAUGAAUUCAUUUAAAAUCAGCACCGGUUUGUGAUUUAACCCUCUAAAGUGAACUUACUUGGAGGUCAUUAAUUU